rfam:Atopobium minutum 10063974 genomic scaffold acnkJ-supercont1.1, whole genome shotgun sequence.
GGGGUGUUAGCUCAGCUGGUUAGAGCGCCGGCCUGUCACGUCGGAGGUCGAGGGUUCAAGUCCCUUACAUCCCG